rnacentral:lncRNA from 1 species
NNNNNNNNNNNNNNNNNNNNNNNNNNNCACCCCAUCCCCACUCCCCCCCACACCCCAUCCCACCCCAGCCAGGGGCUGUGCCGUGCUCACACAUCCGCUGGGGAUGGAUGCAGGGCACCGAACGCCACGGCUGGGUCGCUUUGUCCCCUUCCUCUCACCAAGGCCAGCGGGGACGGGUGCGGGUGCCCGGUGCGGCCCGGUGGGUGCCCAGCGCGAGUGCCUGUGCAGGCGCCCGCCCCCGGUUCGGUUCAGCCUUGCUGUGACUCAGCCGGCGCCAGCUCAGCGGCACGAGGAGCAGGACAGCCGUGGAAGCAGCCGCUCGUGGAGCCCCGUGGCACCAUCGGCACGGCCCCGGGUCCAGCUCCUGCCACCACCCUGCUGCCCCAGCGCAUCCCAGUGCCUCGAACCCAGCGUCUCUGGCCAGCGAGCCCAGCGCGGCUCCUGCGGUCGCGUGGCAGAGCCGGAGCUGGCACGGCGCGAGUGACAGCGGGGCCACCGCAUCAUGCCCGGGGGACAGCGGCACGGGGAGGGGGCAGCUGGUCCAGCCUGGGGCGCCAGAGCAGACGUGGCCCCCUGGGAUGUGUAGAUGCCACCGCAGCUUCGAGAGCGCCCAAAUGUCACCCAAGGGUGCCUGGCACAAUGCAAGGCCAGCACAGGGGUUGCUCAGCUGCUUUGAGGACCAGGCAGGGCAGAUGGGGGGACAUGGGGGCGUCCCCCAGCUGCACCGAGGCAGUGCGUGGGGACGUGGCCUGCGCAGAGCCAGGGGGGAGCAGAGCCCCCGGGGGACUGCUGGGCAGGGCAGUGGGGGGGUCACGGGGAUGCUGGUGCCACAAGGCACUGAAAGCAAAGCGAGUGGUGGGGGGGGCAGCUGCCCCCUGCCCCGCCGUGCAGAUCAGGUCAGAGCUGCUCCGGAGCAGCGAGCGCGGAGGCUGGGGCGCAGCGAGCUGGCUCCAGCUGACGGAGGAAUGUUUAUUCGCCGAGAAGUCUGUAAUUUUUCCAGCCCUGUAUCUAUUUGCGGCAACGUGACAUGUGCAGCGUGGUGUUCUUUGCAGGCUUGAAGUCUUGUAAAAAAUUAAUUGUGUACGCAAAAAAAAAAAUUUGGCUUUAAAAUAUUAAAACCCAUAGUGGGGAAGCGAGAGCCCCGUGCACGCAGCCCGCGGUCCCCGUGGGGGGCUCAGGGGCCGGGGCAGGCCCAUCCCAGCACGGACCCAUUGGGAUGUCCCUUUGGGGGGGGUCCCUGCAGCCGGCUGCUGGCCGGGGGGUGCCGGUGACCGGGACCCCCUGGGGGCUGUGGGGCCGCAGGCUGGGAGCUGCCC